rnacentral:rRNA from 1 species
AUGAACGCUAGCGGCAGGCUUAACACAUGCAAGUCGAGGGGCAGCGGGGUGUAGCAAUACACUGCCGGCGACCGGCGCACGGGUGCGUAACGCGUAUGCAACCUACCCAUAACAGGGGCAUAACACUGAGAAAUUGGUACUAAUUCCCCAUAACAUUCGAAGAGGCAUCUCUUUGGGUUGAAAACUCCGGUGGUUAUGGAUGGGCAUGCGUUGUAUUAGCUAGUUGGUGAGGUAACGGCUCACCAAGGCGACGAUACAUAGGGGGACUGAGAGGUUAACCCCCCACAUUGGUACUGAGACACGGACCAAACUCCUACGGGAGGCAGCAGUGAGGAAUAUUGGUCAAUGGACGCAAGUCUGAACCAGCCAUGCCGCGUGCAGGAUGACGGCUCUAUGAGUUGUAAACUGCUUUUGUACGAGGGUAAACUCACCUACGUGUAGGUGACUGAAAGUAUCGUACGAAUAAGGAUCGGCUAACUCCGUGCCAGCAGCCGCGGUAAUACGGAGGAUUCAAGCGUUAUCCGGAUUUAUUGGGUUUAAAGGGUGCGUAGGCGGUUAGAUAAGUUAGAGGUGAAAUCCCGGGGCUUAACUCCGAAAUUGCCUCUAAUACUGUUUGACUAGAGAGUAGUUGCGGUAGGCGGAAUGUAUGGUGUAGCGGUGAAAUGCUUAGAGAUCAUACAGAACACCGAUUGCGAAGGCAGCUUACCAAACUAUAUCUGACGUUGAGGCACGAAAGCGUGGGGAGCAAACAGGAUUAGAUACCCUGGUAGUCCACGCCGUAAACGAUGUCGACUUGGAGGUUGUGCCCUUGAGGCGUGGCUUCCGGAGCUAACGCGUUAAGUCGACCGCCUGGGGAGUACGGCCGCAAGGUUAAAACUCAAAUGAAUUGACGGGGGCCCGCACAAGCGGAGGAACAUGUGGUUUAAUUCGAUGAUACGCGAGGAACCUUACCCGGGCUUGAAAGUUAGCGACGGAUCUGGAAACAGGUCUUCCCUUCGGGGCGCGAAACUAGGUGCUGCAUGGUUGUCGUCAGCUCGUGCCGUGAGGUGUCGGGUUAAGUCCCAUAACGAGCGCAACCCCUACCGUUAGUUGCCAUCAGGUGAAGCUGGGCACUCUGGCGGGACUGCCGGUGUAAGCCGAGAGGAAGGUGGGGAUGACGUCAAAUCAGCACGGCCCUUACGUCCGGGGCUACACACGUGUUACAAUGGUAGGUACAGAGGGUCGCUACCCCGUGAGGGGAUGCCAAUCUCGAAAGCCUAUCUCAGUUCGGAUUGGAGGCUGAAACCCGCCUCCAUGAAGUUGGAUUCGCUAGUAAUCGCGCAUCAGCCAUGGCGCGGUGAAUACGUUCCCGGGCCUUGUACACACCGCCCGUCAAGCCAUGGGAGCUGGGGGUGCCUGAAGUUCGUGACCGCAAGGAGCGACCUAGGGCAAAACCGGUGACUGGGGCU